GUGUGCUGUAUCGAUGAGUUUGACAAA
rnacentral:piRNA from 1 species